UUGUUUGUGUGUGCAAUUGAUUUGCUUUUGUGAUGUGCCUGCUGGUUUGAAAGUUCUUGCUAUAUCUUGUAUAUAUAGAUAGCAGAAGAGACGUAUGCUGAUUUUCUUAAAUUCUGAACAAUGAUCUACUUAGUGAUGGCUAAGGCAUUGAGAAGCAUGUUCUCUUUUGACCGAGGAGCAGUAAUUCUCAUAUUUCUAUUUCCAGCCCUUGAUUUUUAAAGGGACCUACGCGGGCGGCUGGUUUGAUUCCUCUUCUUCAAGGCAUCUCACACUUCCAAUUAGCCUGCUCAACAUGUGGAGUAUCUCAACAACUGUUUGGCAUAAAAUGCUGUACAACUCCUGGAAUGAUUCGUAUGCUAUUUUCACAAAUAAACAGACCCACAUCAAGGAAAUGAUGCAGCCCAAGAUUGGAUAAAGAAUAGCUACCAGCAAAAUUGCAGCAAAGCCACCAGCAAAGAGGCGGAUAUUGCCAGCAUGUGUAUGAUAGAUUGAUUCAGAAGCUCGGAGCAUAACCUCAACCACCAAUGCUGUGGCAUAUGUAAAUAGAGCCAGGAGGAAAAUGAACAUGAUAAGAUGGUGUGUGUCCCAGGGAGACGCUUGAACUGAUUGAUACUUCACUUGGAUAUAAUUGUUUGAGGUCUUGAGGAGAAGGGCAAAGAUCCCAUGUUGCACAAUAAUGAUGCUGCCAUCACAACAAAAUAAAAUUGUUUUAGACAUGCUAAUAUUCAACAUCAUAUUUUUCUACGGUGCUUGAGGUCAGUAAAAGUUGGUUUUUUUACCAUUAAAUAUUCGAUAUAAUAUACUUUUA